AAUGAUGAAAACCAUCUCAGGAGCCACCACUGAAGUCUUCCUGGACGUGGCCUGGACAGUUAGUGAGCCCCAGACUCUCAGGAGCACACGCUGACCUCUUAAAUUGUCUCACUUAUAGGUUGUUUUCAGGGUGAAAUGAGCAUAUUGAAAUUAGUAUCUUCAUUUCCUUCAACUUGUAAAUACUGUUGCUUCACUGAGAAUCAGCAUAGGUGUCCCAUAAAUUC